UUAUUCUAUUCUAAUACAUAUUUUAUUAUUUUUUAUGAAUACAUAAUAAUAUUCAUGGUGACGAAGCACUUAUAAUACGUUUUUGAUGAUCUGUGUAAGUGAUUCACCAAUAUAAAAAAAAAUGUGAUAGUAUAAAAUCAUUUUUUUUUAGCUUUUUUGUAUUCUUAUCAAUUUAGAUGAAAAAUUUUAUGUGGGUGGUUAUCAAAUUUUAAUUAAAUAUACAAUAAUUUUAAAUAAAGAAAAAAAUCAUUGCCUCUAUUAUUCUAAAAAUACAUACUGGUACCUAUAUCAAUAGAGUAUGUCGAUAUAUUAAAUUUAAUUUAAAGACUGAAAUGUUUAUAAUUAUUAUCUCAAUAUGUUGGGAAACAUUUCAAAGAUGUGUUCUUCACGUUGAUUUUAGAGAGACAGAGAGUGAGAGAAUUUAUUAUUAGGGAAAAACAAAGACAUUCGGACAUAUGAUGUAAGCUCUAAUGACGAAAUUUCACAUUAUUACAUGUGGUCAUUAUGAGGAAAUUUUUUUCUCUUCAGGUCAGUUUUGCUCAAGGUUUCACCAAAAGACACCACGCUUAGAGAGAGAGAGGUCUUUGUGCUCAUAUUUUUCAUCAUAUUACGCAUAUUACAUUACAUUAGGGAAAUUAUAUUUUAUUGUGUAAAAGUUUCGUGGUACAUAUCCUUAUCAAGUAUCAUCGUAAUAUCUUCUAAUAGGUCUAAAAGCAAUUCAUUUCAUACAUCUACCCAGUAAAGUGGGCUGUGGAGUCCACAAGUACUCCAGGGUGUGGAGUGCGUCCACUGUAGCUGCACAGUGGACGUAUUUUGUGCAGUACCUCUACAGUGGGUGCACAGUAUAUCCACAGUAGUCUUAUUUCCAAAGUCCACCGUGAAUACAGAAUGCGGAACUACAAAUGCAUCACCGUGGAUCCAGAUCCUGGAUUCAAAAGUGCACAUCCUAGAUCCACUGUAACUCCACAGUCUGACUAGGAUCUGCACUUUUUUUUUAAUAAUUUGGCCAAAAAAUUUUGGGUGUCCGUGGGAAAAGUUUUGAAAUCUUCCCGGAAACAUUGCUUCCUCUACUUGUUAAUGCCAAAGUGGCCAAGAGAUUGGAAAUCUGAUCAGAGAACUUUCAUCUCCUAGCUAUUCUGGGUAUCCGUGGGAAUCUUUGAAAAAAUCUUUCCGGGAACAUUGCUUCCGCCACUUUUUGAUGCCAAAGUGGCCAAGAGAUUUCAGAUCUGGUCACAGAACUUUCAUCUCCUGGCCAUUCUGGGUAUCUGUGGAAAAAGUUUCGAAAUCUUCCCGGAAACAUUGCUUCCUCCACUUUUUUAUGCCAAAGCGGCCAAGAGAUUUCAGAUCUGGUCACAGAACUUUCAUCUCCUGGCCAUUCUGGGUAUCUGUGGAAAAAGUUUCGAAAUCUUCCCGGAAACAUUGCUUCCUCCACUUUUUUAUGCCAAAGCGGCCAAGAGAUUUCAGAUCUGGUCACAGAACUUUCAUCUCCUGGCCAUUCUGGGUAUCUGUGGAAAAAGUUUCGAAAUCUUCCCGGAAACAUUGCUUCCUCCACUUUUUUAUGCCAAAGCGGCCAAGAGAUUUCAGAUCUGGUCACAGAACUUUCAUCUCCUGGCCAUUCUGGGUAUCUGUGGAAAAAGUUUCGAAAUCUUCCCGGAAACAUUGCUUCCUCCACUUUUUUAUGCCAAAGCGGCCAAGAGAUUUCAGAUCUGGUCACAGAACUUUCAUCUCCUGGCCAUUCUGGGUAUCUGUGGAAAAAGUUUCGAAAUCUUCCCGGAAACAUUGCUUCCUCCACUUUUUUAUGCCAAAGCGGCCAAGAGAUUUCAGAUCUGGUCACAGAACUUUCAUCUCCUGGCCACUUUGGGUAUCUGUGAAAAAAGUUACGAAAUCUUCCCGGAAACAUUGCUUCCUCCACUUUUUAAUGCCAAAAUCUUUCCGGAAACAUUGCUUCCUUCAUUUUCUCAUGCCAGAAUGGCCAAGAGAUUUCAAAUCUGGUCACAGAACUUUCAUCUCUUGGCCACUUUGAGUAUCCCUCGGAAAUUUUUUUAGUGUUUCCGCCAAAUAUCUGCGCGGCGCUAGUGUUUGUGGAAAAAAGUGCAAAAAUGGUGGGACGCUGCAAUCGCUGUGAUGGAAAUUCUCAAUUUUUGGUGGAAAAAAGCAUUGUUAUGUUUUUUUUUCUUCCCGGACGUCCCGGACGUCCCGGACUGUAAAACAACACAAAAGUACUCCGGAAAAUACUAAAUAUCAUAUUACAAGCGUAAUGCCGUACAUGAAUCUCAAUCCGGCAGACAGGCGGCGGCAUUAGCUGCGCGCAAUCACCAUCGACUUCUUCCGUACAAAGUGAUGAAGACAAAUCCUGAAUAUGUCGCCCUCCAGCUACUGUUGAGGUGAAGAAGGAAGAUCUUAAAGCUGUGCUGCGGUGCAGCAACCGGAAGCAGCUGUUCAGGAGAAUUACAAAAGCAGAACGUUUAAAAGCAAAAGCCAGAGCAAUAGAAGCAGCUAGUUGAGGAAGAAGAAGAGCGUAAUAAGGUGAAGGAAGCUGCUCAGGAGGUUGUUGAACGCUCUUUGUACCUAAGAUGCAGAAAGAAGAAGCCAAACUGCCUAUUAUGCCAGUUGUGAAGGAACAGAGAAGGAGCGAACAGUUGUCUUUCAUCGUGUUCUCACGGGCAUGGCGACGAGAAUUGAGGAGAACCUCCAGGAAUUGGGUGAGCAGCAAACAAUUUUGGACAAUUUCUUCUCUAAGGAUUGUUGUCGAUUACGUCAGGACUAUUCUCUAUACUAUCAUGUGAGGAGUGUCACCUUUCAACGUUUCCUGGCGGAACAGGGCUUCGACAUGACAAAGUUGCAGGACAUCUGGGGGAAGGACAAACGCGAUGGAAUCAAAGUGACCGUUCCGGGGCUACGGGAACUCAAGGAGGAUGACAAGAAGGACCAAUGAAACCAGUGAAACAAUCAGCAACAUCACAAUGGUGAAAACCAUCAGAAUAACAUGGCAACAAUCAUCAGGGUGGUCGCACCAGGGGUAAAAAAAUUAAUUAACAGAAAAGGAUCUUUUAAAAAUAUUUAAUUAAUUAAUUUGUUAAAAAUAAGAAUCGUUUUCUUUAAAAAAUUUUUGAAUUAAAAAUGUUUCUUUUUCUUCUUAAGAACUUUUGAGUAUUUUGAACGAAGAAAAAUUCUUGAAUUAAUUUGUGAAGAAAGAUCUUUUUCCUUUUAAAGAAUUCUUGUAUUAAAAAUGAUUUAUUUUCUUCUUAAGAACUUUUGGGUUAUUUGAAGGAGAAAGAAUUCUUAAAUUAAUUUGUUAAGAAAGAUCUUUUUCUUUUUAAAGAAUUCUUGUAUUAAAAAUGAUUCAUUUUCUUCUUAAGAACUCGGGUUAUUUGAAGGGGAAAGAAUUCUUAAAUUAAUUUGUUAAGAAAGAUCUUUUUCUUUUUAAAGAAUUCUUAAAUAAAUUUGUUAAGAAAGAUCUUUUUCUUAUAAAGAACUUUUGGGUUAUUUGAAGG